AAGACACGGAGACAGCAACAGAGGAAUAGGAUAUGAUGGAGAGAGACAGAAGAAUAGAGUUCCAGACAGUUGUAGAAUGUAUGCCAAGGCACAUUGUAAGAGCUGUAAAGAGAGAGGGAGAGAGAACAGGCAGAACCUGAUAUGUAAAUGAGCAGAGCAAAUGAAAGUAACUUUUGACGACCUGAUGAUCAUUCAGACUCUGUUUCUACUGAGAGAUAAAAGGCUGGUUGAAUGAGUUGCCUAUGAAAGCUACUUCAUCUGUAAGAAAACAGGCGUCUGCACCAGUGACUGGGUCAGUGCUCUAAAAUGAGUGUCUCUGGGGAGAGAGAGGAGGGGGGCCCUGCCUCUAAAAUGAGUUUCUCUGGGGAGAGAAAGGAGGGGGGCCCUGCCUCUAAAAUGAGUCUCUCUGGGGAGAGAGAGGAGGGCGGCCCUGCCUCUAA